UACGGAGGGUGCAAGCGUUAUCCGGAUUUACUGGGUUUAAAGGGUGCGUAGGCGGCCUUGUAAGUCAGUGCUGAAAUAUCCCGGCUUAACCGGGAGGGUGGCAUUGAUACUGCAGGGCUUGAGUAAAGUUGAGGUUGGCGGAAUUGACGGUGUAGCGGUGAAAUGCUUAGAUAUCGUCAAGAACACCGAUAGUGAAGACAGCUAACUAAGCUUUAACUGACGCUGAGGCACGAAAGUGUGGGGAUCAAACAGG
rnacentral:rRNA from 1 species